ACUAUUGCAAAUUUUUUUGCAAUAGUGCUACAAUGCAAUUCUAAACAUAGAAUUGCACUGUAGCAAGUAUUGUAUAAAAAAUAAUAUAUUUUAUUAUGUUUCCCCCUAAAACUUCUCUCUCAUGAAUUCAUUCUGCGCGGGCUCUCCUCUCUCUAUUCAUUCUCUGUUUCUCAUCUGCUCUCCCCUCAUCUCUGAAGCUUCAUCUCUGAAAUGUCUAUGUGACCAUCUCCGAAAUUUCUAGACCCAUCUCCAUCUCCAUCUCUGAAAUUUCUCACCCGAUUCACCCUCACCCAUCUCCAUCGCUGACCCUCACCCAUUCACCGAUUCACCCUCACCGAUUCACCCUCACCCUAACCUCACCCAUUCACCGAUUCACCCUCACCCAUUCACCCUCACCGAUUCAUCCUCACCCAUCUCCAUCUCUGAAGCUUCACCCUCACCCAUUCACCGAUUCACCCUCACCUCACCCAUUCACCCUCACCGAUUCACCCUCACCCAUCUUAACCGAUUCACCCUCACCCAUUCUCAAGGGUUUUUAGGUUUGGGUUCAGAUUUUGCAAAAACGAAGCUCCGUUGGUGUUGGGGGAUUCAGCUCCGUCGGUGUUGGUGCUGACUGUAAGAGUUUUUGUUGUUGAUUUAGCAUCUUCGAGACCGUAAGCUCGAGUUCAUCUUCAGAAAGUUUGCUCGGUUCAUCUUCAAUUACUAGGCAAUAUUCCACUGGAAAAGCCUCCCCUGCUACUUAGAGUGUACAAUAGAUUAUGACUUGUUGGCUUAGUCAAGUGUUAUGUUUGUGUUGUUGUUUACUUUUCUGCUGCAGAAAUGACUGCCCUGUGUAAAUGAAAUGUGUUUAUUACAACUACUUAAAUAAAUAAAAAAAGUUUAAUUAGUUUUCAAAUCAUAGAGCCCCAACGGUUUACACCUAUUUAAGCCAACAUUUCGUGUAAUCAAUGUUUGUUAUUGUUUUAAUGGUUAUAUUAUGUUGAGCUUUAAAAAGUGAUAUUGUGGUCCUUUCAUUGAUACCUAUGUUUCGUAAAAUCUCUUGUUGAUUAAAGUGAUAAUCCAUUUCUAUUUUAAUAUAAUUCCUUUUUAGUUCGGCCUGAAGUUUGUGUCUAAUGAGUUGUAUUUGACGCUUAAAGUUAUAACACAAUUUGGAAAAGGUUUGCUAAAUCACAUGAACUUUGUUUAAAGAUCUCUAACGAUGCCUUGAUGCCUUUGUCUUUGUCUGAGGAGGUAAUAGUUAUCACCAGCAAGUUGUAUAAAAAUGGAAACUUUUGAGCUUUCAGUUACUUGCUAAGGUGUUUUAGCCCAAUAAAGAGAACUGGUCCACCUGUUUUUGAUUCAUAUUGUAGUAAGUGGUUGUGGAUUGUCCAUCCAAAAACUUAACUAAGCCUUAUCCUUAAUAGAUACCCUUUGAGCUCAUCUUAACAAAUUAAGUGAUGAGUGGGCAUUUAGUGAUUCACAUAGGUGUCCCUUCCUUCAUCCAAAAUAGGUGAUUAUGCUGAUUUUCUAAUAUAACUGUUGUAGCUUUUAUGGUUA